ACGCUCGACACCUACGGGUGGCAGCAGUGGGGAAUAUUGCACAAUGGGGGAAACCCUGAUGCAGCGACGCCGCGUGAAGGAAGAAGUAUCUCGGUAUGUAAACUUCUAUCAGCAGGGAAGAAAAUGACGGUACCUGACUAAGAAGCCCCGGCUAACUACGUGCCAGCAGCCGGGUAAUCUGAGCGGGCUGGCAAGGC
rnacentral:rRNA from 1 species